rnacentral:rRNA from 1 species
AUUGAACGCUGGCGGCAGGCCUAACACAUGCAAGUCGAGCGGAUGAAGGGAGCUUGCUCCUGGAUUCAGCGGCGGACGGGUGAGUAAUGCCUAGGAAUCUGCCUGGUAGUGGGGGAUAACGUCCGGAAACGGGCGCUAAUACCGCGUACGUCCUGAGGGAGAAAGUGGGGGAUCUUCGGGCCUCACGCUAUCAGAUGAGCCUAGGUCGGAUUAGCUAGUUGGUGGGGUAAAGGCCUACCAAGGCGACGAUCCGUAACUGGUCUGAGAGGAUGAUCAGUCACACUGGAACUGAGACACGGUCCAGACUCCUACGGGAGGCAGCAGUGGGGAAUAUUGGACAAUGGGCGAAAGCCUGAUCCAGCCAUGCCGCGUGUGUGAAGAAGGUCUUCGGAUUGUAAAGCACUUUAAGUUGGGAGGAAGGGCAGUAAGUUAAUACCUUGCUGUUUUGACGUUACCAACAGAAUAAGCACCGGCUAACUUCGUG